ACGGUUUGGGAGAAUUGCGGAGCCGAAACUCGAAAAGCUUUCCGGCGAGAUUCCGACCCCGUCGGGUUCGAUCACCGGAAAGUAAGACCGAAUCCGUGAUCCUCAUCACGCGAGCUUCGAUUCGGUGCACGCGCGAGUAGUGGAGUGGAUCCCGAGGAGGAUCUUAGUUGAUUUGCGCUCUCCAGGUGCAAGUGGUGGUAGACGUUCUUCCGGAGCGAACCAAGUUUUCCGCUGCUGUUGUGUUUCGAGAAGUUUCUUUGUACUCUUUCAUCUCAGUGUAUUAUUUCUUUUCAGCCUUGUUGUAUUUCUGUUGUUUAGCACUUCUUAAAGCUCUGUAUACUAUUGGAAUACUUCUGUUUUAUUUAUGCACUGGACU